rnacentral:rRNA from 1 species
GACGAACGCUGGCGGCGUGCUUAACGCAUGCAAGUCGAACGGAAAGGCCCUGCUUUUGUGGGGUGCUCGAGUGGCGAACGGGUGGGUAACACGUGAGUAACCUGCCCUUGACUUUGGGAUAACUUCAGGAAACUGGGGCUAAUACCGGAUAGGAGCUCCUGCUGCAUGGUGGGGGUUGGAAAGUUUCGGCGGUUGGGGAUGGACUCGCGGCUUAUCAGCUUGUUGGUGGGGUAGUGGCUUACCAAGGCUUUGACGGGUAGCCGGCCUGAGAGGGUGACCGGCCACAUUAGGACUGAGAUACGGCCCAGCCUCCUACGGGAGGCAGCAGUGGGGAAUAGUGCACAAUGGGCGGAAGCCUGAUGCAGCAACGCCGCGUGUGGGAUGACGGCCUUCGGGUUGUAAACCGCUUUCGCCUGUGACGAAGCGUGAGUGACGGUAAUGGGUAAAGAAGCACCGGCUAACUCCGUG